rnacentral:SRP_RNA from 1 species
UCGGUCCCCUCGCAAUGUGCAGCUGUGAACUCCGCCAGGCCCGGAAGGGAGCAACGGUAGCAGUGCGUGCGUGUGCCGGGGUGUGGCUGG